UGUGGAAACAGGCCCUUCGGCCCAACAAGUCCACACUGACCUAUUUCCCCCCCAACUCCCCACCUACACUGGCUCUAACCCCGCCUCUUUGACCUGUCUGUCUCCUCUCACCCUAUCUUCUCCUUUAUCCAUCUUCUAUCUGCCUCCCUAUUUAUUUCAGACUCCCCUUCCCCUCCCCCAUUUCUGAAGAAGGGUCCCAACCCGAAACAUCAAGCUUUCCUGCUCCUCUGAUGCUGCUUGGCCCGCUGUGUUCAUCCAACUUCACACAGUGUUAUCUCUGUAAAUAGGAGGACCUGGAUUGUCCCCACUUGGUUCCACUGAAACUGUGGAGAUCUGGUUGGUUGCACCUCAAAGAUCAUCCUUCAGUCAACGGGAACAUUGAGUCUGGCUUCCAGCAUCGGCAGUCCUUAUUGUCUCCAAGUCAGUGGCAGUAUCCAGACUGGCUGCUUACAAAGAUAAGUGCCCCUGCUGCACUAGCUUUCUUUUAUGUGCAACUCUAACUAUAUUGAGAAAGUGAGUCCUGAUGAAUGGUGUAAACCCAAAACGCCAACUUUCCUGCUCCUCCGAUGCUGCAUGACCUGCUGUGAUCUUCCAGCUCCACAACAAAUUGAGAAAGUGGUGUUGGGCCUUCUUCUUGAACGACUAAAUGUGUGCGUGGAUAUACUAGGAUUCUAACCCAGCAAUAAAGGAACUGUGAUUAAUAAUGUCAGCUUGGUGAAUGACUUGCAGCCCAGGCAUUCCUGAUAUCAACACCUGCUGCCCUAGUUUUCCUUGCAAGUGGAGGUCUAAGGUUUGUGAAGUGCCACUGAUUAACCAUGGAUGAGUUUCCGCUGUGCACACUGUGGAUAGUGCACGCUGCAUGUCAUGGUGCCAGUAGUGCAGUGUGUGAAUAUUUAAGUCUGUGCAUGGUUGGAUUGGCAAUCUAUCAAAUGGGCUGCCUAUGUAACAGGAUUACUCAGAACAAGGAAGUAACAGAAAAAGUACUCAGGAGGUUUAAACAAGUUCGCCAU